GACGAACGCUGGCGGCGUGCUUAACACAUGCAAGUCGAACGGAAAGGCCCUGCUUUUGUGGGGUGCUCGAGUGGCGAACGGGUGAGUAACACGUGAGUAACCUGCCCUUGACUUUGGGAUAACUUCAGGAAACUGGGGCUAAUACCGGAUAGGAGCUCCUGCUGCAUGGUGGGGGUUGGAAAGUUUCGGCGGUUGGGGAUGGACUCGCGGCUUAUCAGCUUGUUGGUGGGGUAGUGGCUUACCAAGGCUUUGACGGGUAGCCGGCCUGAGAGGGUGACCGGCCACAUUGGGACUGAGAUACGGCCCAGACUCUUACGGGAGGCAGCAGUGGGGAAUAUUGCACAAUGGGCGGAAGCCUGAUGCAGCAACGCCGCGUGCGGGAUGACGGCCUUCGGGUUGUAAACCGCUUUCGCCUGUGACGAAGCGUGAGUGGCGGUAAUGGGUAAAGAAGCACCGGCUAACUACGUG
rnacentral:rRNA from 1 species